rnacentral:rRNA from 1 species
GUGAGGAAUAUUGCGCAAUGGAGGCAACUCUGACGCAGCCAUGCCGCGUGCAGGAAGAAGGCGCUACGCGUUGUAAACUGCUUUUAACCGGGAAGAAACCCCAGGACGCGUCCUGGGUUGACGGUACCGGAGGAAUAAGCACCGGCUAACUUCGUGCCAGCAGCCGCGGUAAUACGAAGGGUGCAAGCGUUAUCCGGAUUCAUUGGGUUUAAAGGGUGCGUAGGCGGAGCGUUAAGUCAGUGGUGAAAUCCUGCAGCUUAACUGUAGACUUGCCAUUGAUACUGGCGCUCUUGAGUGCGCUUGAAGUGGGCGGAAUGUGCCGUGUAGCGGUGAAAUGCUUAGAUAUGGCACAGAACACCAAUUGCGAAGGCAGCUCACUAAGGCGAUACUGACGCUGAGGCACGAAAGCGUGGGGAUCGAACAGGAUUAGAUACCAUUGUAGUCC